GUGUUACCUGCCCACAGCAUAAUGCUAGGCAAUGUCCAGCCGUUCCACCCGGCAUACAAGCUUAUGGAGCAGCCCCCUUUGAAGAUCUCCAGGUGGACUUCACAGAGAUGUCAAAGUGUAGAGGUGAUCGAGUGUGGAUCAAGAACUGGAACGUAGCCUCUUUGUGUCCACUGUGGAAAGGACCCCAGACUGUCGUUCUGAGCCCUCCCACCGCUGUGAAGGUAGAAGGAAUCCCAGCCUGGAUCCACCACAGCCAUGUAAAACCUGCAGCGCGUGAAACCUGGGAGGCAAGACCAAGCCCAGACAACCCUUUCAGAGUGACCCUGAAGAAGACGACAAGCCCUGCUCCAGUCACACCCGGAAGCUGACUGGUCCACGCACGGCCGAAGCCUGAGGAAGCUCAUCGUGAGAUUCAUUUUUCUUAAAUUUUGGACUUAUACAGUAAGGGCUUCAACUGAUCUUACUCAAACUGGGGACUGUUCCCAGUGUAUUCAUCAGGUCACCGAAGUAGGACAGCAAAUUAAAACAAUCUUUCUGUUCUAUAGUUAUUAUGAAUGUGUGGAAACAAUAAAAGAAACUUGUUUGUAUAAUGCCACUCAGUGCAAGGUAUGUAGCCCGAGAAAUGACCGACCUGAUGCGUGUUAUAACCCAUCUGAGCCCUCCGCAACCACCGUUUUUGAAAUAAGAAUAAGAACUGGCCUUUUCCUAGGUGAUACAAGUAAAAUAAUAACUAGAACAGAAGAAAAAGAAAUUCCCAAGCAAAUAACUUUAAGAUUUGAUGCUUGUGCAGCCAUUAAUAGUAAAAAGCUAGAAAUAGGAUGUGGUUCUCUUAACUGAGAAAGGAGCUAAAGAGUAGAAAAUAAAUAUGUUUGUCAUGAGUCAGGGGUUUGUAAAAAUUGUGCCUAUUGGCCAUGUGUUAUUUAGGCUACUUAAAAAAAGAACAAAAAGGAACCGGUUUAUCUUCAGAAGGGGGAAGCCAACCCCUCCUGUGCUGCCAGUCACUGUAACCCACUAGAACUAAUAAUUACCAAUCCCCUAGAUCCCCGUUGGAAAAAGGGAGAACGUGUAACCCUGGGGAUCAAUAGGACAGGGUUAAACCCUCAAGUUGCCAUUGUAAUUAGAGGGGAGGUCCACAAGUGCUCUCCCAAACCAGUAUUUCAAACCUUUUAUGAGGAGCUGAAUGUGCCAGCACCAGAACUUCUGAAAAAGACAAAAAA
rnacentral:lncRNA from 1 species